AUCUGGGUAGCUUAGAUUAGAGCAUGGUAUUGAAGAUACCAAGGUAAUUGUAAAUUUCCAGGUA
rnacentral:tRNA from 1 species